rnacentral:rRNA from 1 species
AGCGAACGCUGGCGGCAUGCCUAACACAUGCAAGUCGCACGGGGGGGCUUCGGCCUCCCAGUGGCGGACGGGUGAGGAACGCGUAGGGACCUGUCGAGGGGUGGGGGAUAACCGCGGGAAACUGCGGCUAAUACCGCAUGACGCCGCGGCGUGACAGCCGGGGCCAAAGGCGAAAGCCGCCCGCCGAGGGGCCUGCGUCCGAUUAGCUGGUUGGCGGGGUAGCGGCCCACCAAGGCGUCGAUCGGUAGCUGGUCUGAGAGGGUGAUCCGCCACACCGGGACUGAGACACGGCCCGGACUCCUACGGGAGGCAGCAGUGGGGAAUAUUGGACAAUGGGCGCAAGCCUGAUCCAGCAAUGCCGCGUGGGUGAAGAAGGUCUUCGGAUUGUAAAGCCCUUUCGGCGGGGACGAUGGUGACGGUACCCGCAGAAGAAGCCCCGGCUAACUUCGUG